UCCCCCACAGUACAUUUCCAUCUGUUCGUUACCUCUCACUACCUGUGAAGAUUUCUUUGGGGGAUUUCAAUGAAUCUGCACACUGGAGUGAAGUUUUAUAUAUUUUUUUAAAGAUAAAAAUACUCAAUGGCUCACGCAGAACCGACUUCUUAACCACAUGUUGAAUGAAUUCGUCUCAGAUGGGGUGUGUUUUAAGACAUUUCAGAGCGCGCGGAGAAUGGGCGCCUCACAGCUCUGGGUACGGUUGGAGUGCAUAAAAACAGACCGGACAACUUUUACCUUUCAACCGACAGAUUCCGCGAUGGCACCUCGUGCAUUCUGCGCUGGAAAAGCCUAACAGGUCUCUCACCCAGCCCCUCUCCCAUGUCACCGAG
rnacentral:lncRNA from 13 species